GCCAGAACUAGUCACUCCCCCCAGGCGCUAUUUGCAUGUCUCUCUGCCUGGCUCACCUGGCUCAGGUGGUGGCGACGACUCCGACUCCUCCUCUUUGCGCAUGCCUCCACGGGGAGAACUGGGAGGGAGGCGUGGCCGCUCCUUUCCCGGGGGCCACGAGUUCCAGGCAUUUCGUGGCGGGGUCCAAGGGUUUUGGAGAAAGGUUGUGCAGGCUUCAACCAGGCAGACCUUGGAAAUCAGAUUCAUUUUUACAUCAGAGGAACUGAGGUUGAAGUCAAUGGCUUGCGGAAAUCUGUCAAGCCCGUGGCUUGAAAGGGAUUUUACUCCAGAACAUUUGGAUCGAAGCCCAGCUCAUCAUCUGCGGUGUCACCGUGACAUGAUGUUUCUUUGUUCCCAUCAUAAAGCAUUAUGAAACCAGAUGGAAAACCGUGGAGGAUAUCAGCUUCUGUCACAUCAAACAAUCAUAUGCAUAGAACUUGCAAAGCUGACCUUUUGCUGCCUGUUUCCUGUAUGGUAUGAGGGCAAGCUAUUUUCCCAUCAAAGGAAGCAUCCAAGGGAAGGAGAAAGUGACAAAUCCAGUUCUCUAAGCGCAGCUCCCCUCCCCACAAGGGACCUGGUACUGAAGGCUGCCACCUCCUUAUCUCCAUUCUCAAUCUCUGCCAAGAAUAACAUUUUCUCAGUGGCCACUGAAACCGGUUUUCCAAGCCUCAUUGCACAAGCACUUCAGGUCAGAUGGAUUAUUGACUGAAGAACGUAUCUCUUGGAGGAAGAAUAACUUUGGGUAAUGAUUAAAAUGACGUUUGCUUCUAGGUUGCUUUGCUUACUGAAGUCCUAUAUAAACCUACCUUAAGUAAACACAGGGCCAUAUAAACAGCUGAAACCUCAGCAUUUCCGUACUUUGCAAGAAACCUAAAAUAAAUAAUAUACUGUAGAUUUGUAUCAGCCGGUUCAGCAGAGAUACCAUAUGCUGUGGAUUUUUGUUCUCGACAGGACGGUAGCAUUACUUUUAAAAGAAAUAUUUCAAAUCAAGCGAUUUUCAGAAUUACGAAAGCUUAUAUUCUGAAUAAAACUUAAGUUGGUCUUAAA